rnacentral:rRNA from 1 species
GACGAACGCUGGCGGCGCGCCUAACACAUGCAAGUCGAACGGAGCGUGCGGGAAGAAGCCCUUCGGGGUCGAUUCAUGCAUUGCUUAGUGGCGAACGGGUGAGUAACACGUGAGUAACCUACCUCCGAGCGGGGGACAACAUUCGGAAACGGAUGCUAAUACCGCAUAAGACCACAGCCGGACAUCCGGCAGGGGCCAAAGGAUUUAUCCACUUGGAGAUGGGCUCGCGCCCGAUUAGAUAGUUGGUGAGGUAACGGCUCACCAAGUCGACGAUCGGUAGCCGGACUGAGAGGUUGAACGGCCACAUUGGGACUGAGACACGGCCCAGACUCCUACGGGAGGCAGCAGUGGGGAAUAUUGCACAAUGGGCGAAAGCCUGAUGCAGCGACGCCGCGUGAGGGAAGAAGGUUUUCGGAUUGUAAACCUCUGUCUUCGGGGACGAUAAUGACGGUACCCGAGGAGGAAGCCACGGCUAACUACGUGCCAGCCGCCGCCGUAAGAC